rnacentral:rRNA from 1 species
GACGAACGCUGGCGGCGUGCUUAACACAUGCAAGUCGAACGGAAAGGCCCUGCUUUUGUGGGGUGCUCGAGUGGCGAACGGGUGAGUAACACUUAAGUAACCUGCCCUUGCCUUUGGGAUAACUUCAGAAAACUGGGGCUAAUCCCGGAUAGGAGCUCCUGCUUCAUGGUGGGGGUUGGAAAGUUUCGGCGGUUGGGGAUGGACUAGCGGCUUAUCAGCUUGUUGGAGGGGUAGUGGCUUACCAAGGCUUUGACGGGUAGCCGGCCUGAGAGGGUGACCGGCCACAUUGGGACUGAGAUACGGCCCAGACUCCUACGGGAGGCAGCAGUGGGGAAUAGUGCACAAUGGGCGGAAGCCUGAUGCAGCAACGCCGCGUGCGGGAUGACGGCCUUCGGGUUGUAAACCGCUUUCGCCUGUGACGAAGCGUGAGUGACGGUAAUGGGUAAAGAAGCACCGGCUAACUACGUG